UACAGAGGGGGCAAGCGUUGUUCGGAAUUACUGGGCGUAAAGGGCGCGUAGGCGGCCUGCUAAGUCGAACGUGAAAUCCCCGGGCUCAACCCGGGAACUGCGUCCGAUACUGGUGGGCUUGAAUCCGGGAGAGGGAUGUGGAAUUCCAGGUGUAGCGGUGAAAUGCGUAGAUAUCUGGAGGAACACCGGUGGCGAAGGCGGCAUCCUGGACCGGUAUUGACGCUGAGGCGCGAAAGCCAGGGGAGCCAAACAGGG
rnacentral:rRNA from 1 species